UACGGAGGAUGCGAGCGUUAUCCGGAUUUACUGGGCGUAAAGGAUGUGUAGGCGGAUACUUAAGUGAGAUGUGAAAGCCCCGGGCUCAACCUGGGGACUGCAUUUCAAACUGGGUAUCUAGAGUGCAGGAGAGGAAAGCGGAAUUCCUAGUGUAGCGGUGAAAUGCGUAGAGAUUAGGAAGAACAUCAGUGGCGAAGGCGGCUUUCUGGACUGUAACUGACGCUGAGGCAUGAAAGCGUGGGGAGCAAACAGGAUUAGAUACCCUGGUAGUCCACGCCGUAAACGAUGAGUACUAGGUGUAGGAGGUAUCGACUCCUUCUGUGCCGCAGUUAACACAAUAAGUACUCCGCCUGGGAAGUACGGUCGCAAGAUUAAA
rnacentral:rRNA from 1 species